rnacentral:lncRNA from 1 species
AGCCACCUCUUCCCAAACUGCAUCUUUCAGAUCUACUCUUUUGUAGAGCUCAGAAGUAUAAUUCCAAAGAGGAUAGGUCUACACUCAACUAAAUUAAUUAAUAUAAAUUCAGUAUCUUUUGAAAAUAUAUCAGCUUUUUUCGGCAUGAUUCAUCGAUAUAAAUUUUACAUUUUUUCCAAGAAAUGUUGUCUUCAAUUUUCGUUUCGAUACAUGAUCAACAUGGUCACAUGACUACAAAGUCACUUUGUGAUUGGUUGCGUCUGCGUCUACGAUUAUGAAAAAUAGACAGAUGUCUAAAUGGUAAUCGUGAAUCGCAAUCGCCAAUAUUUCUUUUCUGAUUGGUCAACAAAUAAUCGCAGACGCAAACGCGAACGCAAUCUCCAAUCGCUAGUGUGAUACAGGCAUAAUACAAUUAUACAAUAGAUUGAUUCCUCUGCUUUUAGCAGCUUCUCGGUUAUUCGGGCCGGCUUAAGAAAUCUCGGGCUCCGAAAUCAGCUCCGUCACCUGUUCCGUUUAGAUUUGCCUCUAUCUCUAAUGGGCAGCGUCCUCUGCUAUCCGAUAUGCCAGGAGCUCCCCCUUCCUCUCUCUCUCUCUCUCUCUCUCUCUCUCUCUCUCAUUGUUCCUGUAAUUGGCGUGCAACAGGACUCUGAACGGCAGCGUUAACAUAAAAUAUACGAAAUUAUACGACCUGUGUGUGCGGAUUUCCGAGUGAGGCUCUCAGCAGGCUCUUGCGUUUCGUCCGUCUCUGCUCAGUAGUUUUUCUUCCGUUAAUGGGUGAAAUUACAGAAUAAUUUUCUUUAGUCACCGAGCACGAUCAGUUGAUAACAACAAAUCUAAAUGUGAGACGACUAAACAGAAAAAAUAAAUUUGCAACAAAAGGAUCCAAAAAGAAAACAAACAGCCGAAUAAUUAGUGCACGCUUGCAUGUGUGCUUGCGCGCUCGUACUCGGAGACAGUAGGACGCAAGAUCCUCGCAGAAAUAUCGCCAACAGUGACUGAUAAAAAUUGUCACGUUACAGUAUAGUGUGUGAAAUUACUGCAGAUAUUAAAUGGCAGGUGAUGUUUAUAUCUUCAUAUUUUUACAAAUAAUGGCUCGAUCAUUAGAAAAAGUUGUUGCAGGACAAGAGAUCCUGAUUGAAGAAGAGGCCGAGCAACAAGAAGUUGAACGAGAAAGAGCUAACCAGGAAGAAGCCGAGGUAAUGGAAACAAACAUAGAAGAAGAGUUUUAAUAGCAGUGAUCAUUUAACAAAUCUGCUUGCAAGGAAAGUACGCAAUGAGAAACUUCUCAUAGAGAAAGUACGGAAACGACCACCUCUUUGGAAUUUUAAAUUGCACAUAUCCAACCGGAGCGCCCGUGCCAAGGAGAAGUUGUGGGAAGAGAUUACUGACAACAUGAAAGGAGAAAUGACUGUAACAGAGAUAAAAAAGAAGUGGAAGUCAUUAUUCGAUACGUUCAGGAGACUUCGCAAAGCUCACAAAUAGCCAAGUGAUUCUACGGUUGCCAAGAAGGUUAGAUGUUUCCACUCUGAUAGGCUUAGUUUUUUGCAUGAUAUGCAAACACGAAUAUGUGUAAUGUAUACGUUAUAUAUAAAUGUAAUUCAUACAGCUAUUAAAAGAUCAAAAUAUAAUUUUAACCUUUCCUUUCUAGGACGAUAUUGAACAUUACCAACAGUCCAGAUAUUUCGCUAGACAUCACAGAAAUAUCUGUUGAUGAUCGCAGUGGCAAUAUGUCACAAAACAAUGAACAUAAAUCACAAAGGUUCGACAAGUUCAUCGAGCCUGGAAUCAUUAUGGAUAGGAUGAUGGACCUGAAUACUCCCAUAUCGAUUGAUAUAACCGGAGGCCUGCAUCAUCAUCAUCAUGUGACAAUCAUUCCAAACUCAAUGAUGAAUACAUUGGGUUUGGAAUGAUUGUCACCUCUAAGCUGCGAGCCCACAGUGCGAAUGCAAGUGAGAUAGCAAUGCUCGCAAUAUUACAACUUUUGUGUGAAGCAAAAGUGAACGACAAGUAGAAAAAUAUGAAAUUAAUGUAACAGUUACUAAGAUAUUAAUAAUGUUAUCAACAUAAAAGUAGGAUUAUAGUAAGGAUUCUAAUUGUGGUCGUCUGAGGGUGGCGCGAGGUGCGGGAGGUACUCGUAGGCAUGGGGAGUAUUCGUAGGCUCAGGAAAGGCGCAGGGAAGGUCCCAGCAAUAUCGGUGUUUACGUAAAAUAUGUCGUGGGCCUCCACUAUCGCUGCCGCUGCCACCAUGCACACUAUCUCAUAUACUUAUCACUUUUUUCUCGAUGCGUUGCCGUCUUCUCCUAUCUUCCUUUUUUCUUUUCACACCCAAAACCAUUUGACAUGUCACAUGUUCUGAUGAUAAUAUCAUCAAUGUAAUUUUGAUACAAUCGUGACGUUGCCAAAUAAUACGCAUAUAAAAGUUAAAGAUUGUGAUGUUGCCAAAUAGUGCGCAUAAUGAUAUAAAAUAAAAAGAUCAAUUUUAACCUCCAAAUUGCGCGCGUUUAUUUUCAUACUU